UACAGAGGUCUCAAGCGUUGUUCGGAUUCAUUGGGCGUAAAGGGUUUGUAGGUGGCGCGCUAAGUCGGGUGUGAAAUUUCGGAGCUUAACUCCGAAACUGCAUUCGAUACUGGCGUGCUUGAGGACUGGAGAGGAGACUGGAAUUUACGGUGUAGCAGUGAAAUGCGUAGAUAUCGUAAGGAAGACCAGUGGCGAAGGCGGGUCUCUGGACAGGUCCUGACACUGAGACACGAAGGCCAGGGGAGCAAACGGG
rnacentral:rRNA from 1 species